rnacentral:lncRNA from 1 species
UUCUUAGGAUGCAGAUUCUCUCUUUUCUAGCUAAUUACCAAUCUCCAACAGUUCAAUCUAUAGAUAACUUCUGCACCAGUGAAAUGAAAAAAAAAAUGCUAUAUAGAGUGUCAUUCACUAUUUAUUAUUUGGUAAGGAUAAGGUAGUUAAUCAUCGCCAAGAUGGUAGGGCAACAUAUAUACCAACGUCGUUGUCCCUAGUAGCCACUAAGGUUUUGAGUAAUGCUAUGAAUUUGUGAUUAUGAUUUACAUACACAAAUAUCUUAUUACUUGAAGGAAAACGAAGAAGGAAAUGCACCCUUUUUUUUUCCGGAGAGAGAGAGGAGACAGGAGAGAGAGAGAGUAAUCUUCAAGAGGCAGAAUCUUCAAGAUGACAAAAAUAGUAGUAUCGGCCAUACAUUAGGUGCUAACAAAAAUAAUUCUGAAAGAUUAAGCCAAUGAAAAC